AUUGAACGCUGGCGGCAGGCCUAACACAUGCAAGUCGAGCGGAUGAAGGGAGCUUGCUCCUGGAUUCAGCGGCGGACGGGUGAGUAAUGCCUAGGAAUCUGCCUGGUAGUGGGGGAUAACGUCCGGAAACGGGCGCUAAUACCGCAUACGUCCUGAGGGAGAAAGUGGGGGAUCUUCGGACCUCACGCUAUCAGAUGAGCCUAGGUCGGAUUAGCUAGUUGGUGGGGUAAAGGCCUACCAAGGCGACGAUCCGUAACUGGUCUGAGAGGAUGAUCAGUCACACUGGAACUGAGACACGGUCCAGACUCCUACGGGAGGCAGCAGUGGGGAAUAUUGGACAAUGGGCGAAAGCCUGAUCCAGCCAUGCCGCGUGUGUGAAGAAGGUCUUCGGAUUGUAAAGCACUUUAAGUUGGGAGGAAGGGCAGUAAGUUAAUACCUUGCUGUUUUGACGGUACCAACAGAAUAAGCACCGGCUAACUUCG
rnacentral:rRNA from 1 species